GAUGAACGCUGGCGGCGUGCCUAAUACAUGCCAGUCGAGCGAACAGACGAGGAGCUUGCUCCUCUGACGUUAGCGGCGGACGGGUGAGUAACACGUGGAUAACCUACCUAUAAGACUGGGAUAACUUCGGGAAACCGGAGCUAAUACCGGAUAAUAUAUUGAACCGCAUGGUUCAAUAGUGAAAGACGGUUUUGCUGUCACUUAUAGAUGGAUCCGCGCCGCAUUAGCUAGUUGGUAAGGUAACGGCUUACCAAGGCGACGAUGCGUAGCCGACCUGAGAGGGUGAUCGGCCACACUGGAACGGAGACACGGUCCAGACUCCUACGGGAGGCAGCAGUAGGGAAUCUUCCGCAAUGGGCGAAAGCUUGACGGAGCAACGCCGCGUGAGUGAUGAAGGUCUUCGGAUCGUAAAACUCUGUUAUUAGGGAAGAACAAAUGUGUAAGUAACUAUGCACGUCUUGACGGUACCUAAUCAGAAAGCCACGGCUAACUACGUG
rnacentral:rRNA from 1 species